UACAGAGGUGGCAAGUGUUGUUCGGAAUUACUGGGCGUAAAGGGCGCGUAGGCGGCCAUCUAAGUCAGACGUGAAAUCCCCCGGCUUAACCUGGGAACUGCGUCUGAUACUGGACGGCUUGAGUAUGGGAGAGGGAUGUAGAAUUCCAGGUGUAGCGGUGAAAUGCGUAGAUAUCUGGAGGAAUACCGGUGGCGAAGGCGGCAUCCUGGACCAUUACUGACGCUGAGGCGCGAAAGCUAGGGGAGCAAACGGG
rnacentral:rRNA from 1 species